ACUUCUGGACAUAAGACAGGUUGGACUUAUGACAUUUUGGAUUGGUAAAAUAGUGGACUAAUGUUACUAACUAACUUAGUUACUCACUAACUCUGACUUCUAAAAGACGUUAAAUUCACUAGAUUAGAAUUAUAACGAAAGUUCUGGAAUAAGGUUUUAACUAUUGCGUAAUUCGAAUCGUUAGAUCGUUAUGGUCUUAGUACGUAGUAGUUGUUAGUGUUAUCAAGGACGUAACACUAAAGCUUUGUUUUAACGAUUUAGGUCCCAAUUUCAUAAGCGGCUCGUUCUAUUAAGUCAGCGAAAAUUCUCCGCUACAAGACUAGGUGAGCUGGUGCUGCUGCAUGACAUCAAGCAUAAGGGGGCUAGACUGUAGUUUGAAGUUAACUUUUGGUUUGAUUAUUACUGAAUUUUAUAGAACAUUAUUACAUGGUUUGAGUUUGAAUAAAGAGGGGUCAACUAUGAUUCCCGAGUUGUAUUUACAUUUUCUAUUCCGCUGCAAUUUGGUUUUGAGACAAUGAAUUUGAGUUACCGUAUUUCUAAUUAUGCCUUGCGUUCCAUCGCGGCGGUAACACUCCCAAAGUCGAUGCGACGUAGCAUUAGACGUGUAUGGAUUUUGGGGGUGUUACAUUAGCAGCAUCAGUUCCUUCAUUACCAGGAUGAUUAGCAUAAUCAGUUCCUUCAUUACCAGGACGAUUAGCAGCAUCACUUCUUCCAUCCUGAUGUUCAGUAGAUGGAUUACCAGAAUCAUGUCCAGUGUG